GGCGUGAUGGCCGAGUGGUUAAGGCGACAGGUUUAAGCUAGUCAUAAAUUUCUGUUGGGGAGACCCGCGCGAGUUCGAACCUCGCUCACGUCA